UUGGAAGCACUUUAGUCCAGUGCAGUGAAACAAGACAUCGAAUGGUUCCAAGCCAGCUAAGAAUUGGUUUUAAAGGAACAGCAAGAUAAAGUUGCUGAUUUUCAGAGAUAUUUUCAGCUUCAGAUUUCUAUCAUAAAAAUGAGAAAGCAGAAGUGGACAAUCAAUCAGAAGAUGCUGCUGAGGAGCCUACUUGUCAAGGAUGGCCUCCCUGGCAGGAACAGCCCACUGUGCCAUCUCUCUGGUGAAGGGGAAGCCAUGCUCCUCAAAUCAGACUUUUAUAAAGUAGUUAAGGAAGAAUUUAAUACUGGGAAAUUCAGACAACUUUAAGAGACAAUUGAAGGUCAAUCUGACUUUGGGAAAGGAGUUUGGCACACAAGAACCACCAAUGGCUUUAAGCAAAGAAGAUUCUUUGACAAAAUGAUAAUCUGCAAAAUCAGGAGGCUAUCUAAAGGAGGGAAUCAAGAAAAAAAGACGGCAAGUCACAUUUUUCACUUUAUUAUAUUUAUUUUCAUUAAUUAAUACAUAUAUAUUUUGCACAUGAAAACAAACAUAAAUAGUGCUAUAUAGAAAUCUUUGUGUAUCAAUAAAUCUUAUAAUACACACUGACUUAUCUAAACU
rnacentral:lncRNA from 1 species